ACCCGGAGCGGAGGGGACACACCACGGGGAGGCUGAGGCGGGUCAGCGCAGCCCGCUGCGGCUCCUCGAGGCUUCUCUCCCAACCCCGGCCUUACAGCCGACCGUCCUGGGGCAACCGACGAGGAAAAGAGGAUUUGCCUGAAGCGAGCCUGCUGCUAACAGCCUCCGUAGAGCACCAAACAGCAUCAUCCAUCACAGCUGUGAGCAGCAAGGCUUCACCUGGAGAAAUUAUAUCGAGCUCUGUCACAACAAAAAGCAGCACUUGGAUUACACAGAAAAGGGAAUGACUCAUCAGCAGUGGAAACUGUGUGCACUUUUGGAUUUCAGGUUCCAUACUAAAUUUCUUCUGGCACCAGAAUGAGAAGUGAGCAUAUGAAAUGUUACAACACUCUCUGAGAAGAGUUCCACUGAAAAAUAAGUGUUUACCACACACAUUUCUGGCUUACCAGAACAUUUGAAAAACAACAGACACCCCUACGCACUCCCUCACAA